UUCCUACGGGGGGCAGCAGUGAGGAAUAUUGGUCAAUGGGCGAGAGCCUGAACCAGCCAAGUCGCGUGAAGGAUGACGGCCCUAUGGGUUGUAAACUUCUUUUGUCAGGGAGCAAUUGGGUCCACGUGUGGGCUUAGCGAGAGUACCUGAAGAAAAAGCAUCGGCUAACUCCGUGCCAGCAGCCGCGGUAAUACGGAGGAUGCGAGCGUUAUCCGGAUUUAUUGGGUUUAAAGGGUGCGUAGGCGGGACGGUAAGUCAGCGGUAAAAAUGCGGAGCUCAACUCCGUCGAGCCGUUGAAACUGCCG
rnacentral:rRNA from 1 species